rnacentral:rRNA from 1 species
CCUACGGGAGGCAGCAGUGGGGAAUCUUGCGCAAUGGGGGCAACCCUGACGCAGCCAUGCCGCGUGAAUGAUGAAGGCCUUAGGGUUGUAAAGUUCUUUUGCCCGUGACGAUGAUGACGGUAACGGGAGAAUAAGCUCCGGCUAACUUCGUGCCAGCAGCCGCGGUAAUACGAAGGGGGCUAGCGUUGUUCGGAAUUACUGGGCGUAAAGCGCGCGCAGGCGGUUCGAUAAGUUAGGGGUGAAAUCCCUGGGCUCAACCCAGGAAUGGCCUUUAAGACUGUCGAGCUAGAGGACGAGAGAGGUGAGUGGAAUUCCCAGUGUAGAGGUGAAAUUCGUAGAUAUUGGGAAGAACACCGGUGGCGAAGGCGGCUCACUGGCUCGUUUCUGACGCUGAGGCGCGAAAGCGUGGGGAGCAAACAGGAUUAGAUACCCUGGUAGUCCACGCCCUAAACGAUGAGUGCCAGGUGUCGGGAGGCUUAGCUUCUCGGCGCCGCAGCUAACGCCUUAAGCACUCCGCCUGGGGAGUACGGCCGCAGGUUAAAACCUUAAAUGAAAUUGACGG